UCUACUCUACUUAGUCUGUGCUCGGCGAGCUUGGGCGACGCAAUAAAAACUAAUCUGAUGUCUGUCAUUCCGUGAUGUGAUGUCAAAUAUUGUAGUUAUUCUUCUUUGUUUUGUGAGAUUGUGUAUAAUUUGUACCUACAGUCAUUGAUUUUAACAUUUUUUAAAGAGUGAGCUCACGUUGUAUCUAUAAAAUGAGCACGUCGAGAGGAAACGUGUCCCGAAAAAGACCACAAAAACAUCAAAAUAAAACAGCUUUUAAAAACGACUUGCAUGAUACAAGCAAAAAAACUAAAUUAUUGAACUCUUUGGAAAUAUCAGGACUAUGUAAGAGGUGCAAGGAUAUCAUUGAUUGGAAGAUUAAAUAUAAGAAGUACAAGACUCUUACUGCUCCUGGGAAAUGUGUGGCUUGUGGUCAAAAAACGGUCAAGCAUGCAUACCACGUGAUGUGUUCCAAAUGUGGUGCUGAUAAGAAUGUUUGCACAAAGUGCUGCAAACACCCAGAAAAUGAUGAAGGAUCAAUGCAAAGUAAUGCAGAGUCAAUCCUAAAUACAGAUUUGGAGGCAAUGCUAAAAAUGUUACCAGAAAGGAAGCGUCGAUCAAUACUUAGGUUUAUAAAUAAACAUGAUGAUGGUGAAAAUAAAAUAACUCCUGAGUUGAUGUCUCACAUUGAAGAACUGACUGCUGGUAUUAAUAAUACUAAUAUUGAUGAUGAUGAUGAUAUGGACUUUUUAAGUGAUAGUGAUGAAGAAAAGUAAAGUAAAGAUUUAAUUACAGGUAUAUUUCUCUUUUACAACAGCUAUAAAAGUUAAUGUUUUAAAUAUAUUUAAUAAAUGAAUUAUACAUUAAAAA
rnacentral:misc_RNA from 1 species